AGGACGAACGCUGGCGGCGUGCUUAACACAUGCAAGUCGAGCGAGGCCCUUCCUUCGGGAAGGUGCCCUAGCGGCGAACGGGUGAGUAACACGUGGGCAAUCUGCCCCUAGCACUGGGAUAACUCCGGGAAACCGGGGCUAAUACCGGAUAUGACCUCUGAGGGCAUCCUCUGGAGGUGGAAAGGAUCCUGGCUAGGGAUGAGCCCGCGGCCUAUCAGCUUGGUUGGUGGGGUAAUAGCCUACCAAGGCGACGACGGGUA
rnacentral:rRNA from 1 species